GGGAUUUCCCCCAAAUUGUUCUCCAGACUCACAGUAGCCAGUAGAUAGAUUGCAGGUCUGUUUGUUUUUCUUUCUUCCUUUCUUAGUCCCUCUGGCUCCCAUACCUCCACCCAAUCUGCCCUCAUAAAAACUCAUCUUGUCCAGCUACAGUGCAUUGACAGAGUCCAUUGCUUACAUCUGAAGAUGUGGGUUGGGUUGUGCCCAGUGGCAUGAAUUUACUCUUAUCUAAGGAGAGCUGGCAGUCAAUUCUUUCAUGUCUACAAACUGCUUUGAAGAUGAAAAACGGUGCAUGUGCCUCAAGCGACAUUAUCGCUUUGAGAGUGUUUGUUUUCUCCUUGUAAAAAGUAUAUAUCUCUGUCCAAUGAAUGCUCAAACGCCUUAGCCAGAAUUUAUCUCUGCUUCACGUACAAGAAAAGCAGGGCCUCAUGCGCAUGUACUAGUGAUGAAUAGCACCAGCAUCCUCAGGUUUGUGUGAGGCGUUAGUGAUUUAUUUGUUUUGCAGAGGAGGGGUGGAACCCAGCAGUCAAGCAUGCUAAACACACGCUCUAUCCCUAAGAUACAUCUCUGACUCCCUCAAGUAUUCUUUUGUUUUUGUUUUUGUUUUGUUUUGUUUUUUGUUUUUUGAGACAGGGUUUCUCUGUAUAGUCCUGGCUGUCCUGGAACUCACUUUGUAGACCAGGCUGGUCUUGAACUCAGAAAUCUGCCUGCCACUGCCUCCCAAGUGCUGGGAUUAAAGGCAUGUGCCACCACGCCUGGCUCAAGUAUUCUUUUAAAGAUGGCAUUCAUUUCUAACCCCUGUCUAAUAGCUGCAUGGCUACGUGGACGUCCCUACUUUCCCUCACUGGUGUCUUGCCAACCAAAGUGUGCUGAGCAGUUGGUCCAUACACGCUGUCCUGAGUAUGAACAGGAAAUCCCUAGGGGAUGGCUAGAGAUGGAUCAUUUGACAAAGCACCAGGCUGGGCUCUGAAAAUUGCUGGUGUCAAUCACAGUAUGUGUCACUGCUACAUGUAAGUGGAUUCAACACUGUGGAGUAAGAUGAGAUGGACCAAAGGCCCUGCUAAAUGGAGCUAAAUAUCUUCAGAGAGCUGUGAGUUUUUCCAGAAGAGCCUUUCUUGAAAUAUAAAUGAGCCCAGUGAAACAAAAGUUCAGGCUUCUGGUUCUACAAUUUUCUGCUUGCGCAGCCUAAUGGCUUCCCCUUCUGGUUCAUAUUUGACUGACACUGUUCCUUUGACCAUAUUUCAUUCCCUUUCUUCAAUUCUUUUUUGUUUUGCCAAAGUAGUUUCUUGACUAACUCUUCAUGGUGGGCACGUGGGUAGAAAAACUCAGUUCUUUUUUGCCCUUUCACAUGCUAUUGAUCAUUUGAGUGGGAAGAGAAUCUAAAUUCAAACUCAUUUCCCAUAAACAUUUUGAGCAAAUUAUUUUAUUGUCUUGAAGCAUAAUUAAGUUUUAAAACUUUGUGUUUUUUCUUUCAGGCUGUUUCCCUCGGCUGUCUCUUCACCCCUUUCUACUUAAGCUGGGCAUUUCCCCAGAGCAGAGUGAGGAAACACUUUCAUCAGCAGUCCUUCUGAGAGCUGCUGCCUCCAGAGGAACGAGGACAUCAUAGUCAGGAUGAAAAGCCAUUGACUUCCAUGCCAGGGGCCAGAAGUUGGACCUUUUAUGGAUUCUGUGAUUCAUCACCAAGAGCCCCAACGAUUAAUUUGCUCCUCUUGUGUUUCUAAUCACCUGGGCCACAACAGAGGCCAUACUCUUGCACCUUAACAUUGUUUGAAUAGACCUAGGAAGCACACCUUUCUGACAGAGUAGCAGGAAAAGAACAUCUCUUUGGCAAAUUGUUAACUUCCAGGUCUAAGAAAAACAGUCCUUCAACUUACAUUGAGUCAGGCAGUAGAAGGUAGCUAGAACUCACGGAGGUCAGUAAGAGAAAGGGGCAGCUGGAUUUUCUUUGUGGAGGGUGAGAGCCAGUCAUAACUCCCAUAGCUGUCAUGAGUGAGAAUUGUGAAUUAGCCCAAGGGAGAACUUGCUGGCAGUUGGGGCCAGCUAAGAGCAGGAUGGAUUUCCAUGUGAAUCUCUGAGUUUUUCUUGUUAAGUUACUAAGUGGUGGAGAUAUAUAUCAAAUCUCAGAACAUACAGGAUGCCCAGAAUUCAUGAUCAUGUGAGAAUUGUUUGUCAUACUUAGAGAAAUGACUGAACACAGUAGAUGCUCAAUAUACGCUGAAUAAAAUGAUCAUGAACUUAAUUAUACCUUAGCUU
ensembl:lncRNA